AAGUCGUAACAAGGUUUCCGUAGGUGAACCUGCGGAAGGAUCAUUACACAUCGCGGGAGUCGCACCACGGCUCCCGCCCCGAGCACUCGGGUUACCCUGCCUUUUGAGCACCUUUCGUUUCCUCGGCGGGCUUGCCCGCCACUGGGGACCCAGAAAACCUCUUGCAAUGAGCAGUAACUGUCAGUAAUGAAUUAUCACAACUUUCAACAAUGGAUCUCUUGGCUCUG
rnacentral:misc_RNA from 1 species